CCUACGGGAGGCUGCAGUGAGGAAUAUUGGUCAAUGGACGCAAGUCUGAACCAGCCAUGCCGCGUGCAGGAUGACGGCUCUAUGAGUUGUAAACUGCUUUUGUACGAGGGUAAACUCCGAUACGUGUAUCGGGUUGAAAGUAUCGUACGAAUAAGGAUCGGCUAACUCCGUGCCAGCAGCCGCGGUAAUACGGAGGAUCCGAGCGUUAUCCGGAUUUAUUGGGUUUAAAGGGUGCGUAGGCGGGUUGAUAAGUUAGCGGUGAAAUGUCGGGGCUCAACCCCGAACCUGCCUCUAAUACUGUUGGACUAGAGAAGAGUAGAGGUAGGCGGAAUGUAUGGUGUAGCGGUGAAAUGCUUAGAGAU
rnacentral:rRNA from 1 species